rnacentral:rRNA from 1 species
UACGAAGGGGGCUAGCGUUGCUCGGAAUCACUGGGCGUAAAGCGCACGUAGGCGGCUUUGUAAGUUAGAGGUGAAAGCCCAGGGCUUAACCCUGGAAUUGCCUUUAAGACUGCAUCGCUAGAAUCGUGGAGAGGUAAGUGGAAUUCCGAGUGUAGAGGUGAAAUUCGUAGAUAUUCGGAAGAACACCAGUGGCGAAGGCGACUUACUGGACACGUAUUGACGCUGAGGUGCGAAAGCGUGGGGAGCAAACAGG